GACGAACGCUGGCGGCGUGCUUAACACAUGCAAGUCGAACGGUGAAGCGAUUGCUUUCUCUCGUGGUUCAGUGGCGAACGGGUGAGUAACACGUGAGUAACCUGCCCAUCACUCUGGGAUAAGCACUGGAAACUGUGGCUAAUACUGGAUACGAGCUACCCCUGCAUGGUGGGGUGGUGGAAGUAUCUGUCGGUGAUGGAUGGACUCGCGGCCUAUCAGCUUGUUGGCGGGGUAUUGGCUCACCAAGGCGUCGACGGGUAGCCGGCCUGAGAGGGUGACCGGCCACACUGGGACUGAGACACGGCCCAGACUCCUACGGGAGGCAGCAGUGGGGAAUAUUGCACAAUGGGCGGAAGCCUGAUGCAGCGACGCCGCGUGCGGGAUGACGGCCUUCGGGUUGUAAACCUCUUUCAGCAGUGAAGAAGCGAAAGUGACGGUAAUUGGAGAAGAAGCACCGGCUAACUACGUG
rnacentral:rRNA from 1 species